ensembl:lncRNA
GAGGCGCAGGGAGAAGCUGCAGGCCCACCUGAAGGAGAGUCGCAGUUUGAAAAACUACACCGCUAAUUCCCAGAAUGCCCUGGAAGCCAAGAUGAGGGUCCCUAAUGCCAACCUGCAAAUGCAUGAGUUCUGCAAACGCUCGUCCCAAUCCCGCCAGGGGGGGCCUGUGCGGGUCCAGCUUUGCACACUGCAACAUCUCCACCGCGCCCUCCAGCGGCUCCCGGGGGCCGGCGAAGCAUCCGAGCCCGGAUCAGAGAACCCGGGUGGUCCAUUGGUCGGCUCCACGCAUGACCCCGCCUAUAUCCAGGGGAAAGCUGAACCCAAUUGGAGGAUCCAAGUAUUCGGGCCACGCCUACCAACACCUGCAGGAAGUGGACUCAUCUGAUGCUGAAGCACCAAGAGGGUGCAAAAUGCACGUGGACGAGCGCCGUGACGACCCCAGACGAGACGCCUUCCUGCAUAUGCAAACUCCCGUUUCCACGGCGACGGUGUCUCCGUGGAGCGACCAAGUGGCGGUGCGGCCGGGCCCGUCCGAGCGCGGCCACCCGAACCCCAACGCCCGCGGCCCGCGAAGGCCCGGGGGGCCGCCGCGGCCAGUCCCCGCCCGGUCCGUUCCGCUCCUGCUCCAUCCCCAUCAUCCCCUCCGUACAGUGUCACCAUGACAACGAGGCGUCGUGUAUGCAAACCGGCGUCACAACAACGAUGCCGGUCCCCGGCGGAGCCGCCGCGCCCUGCGGGGAGGCGAGGAGGGUCAGGGAGGCGCACGCCGCGUUGUCUUCCACCUCCUGCUCCCCCGCCAUUGGUCAGCAGCGGGACGAGGUGGCGCUGCUGCUGGAGGAGGCGCAGGAGCAGCUCAGGGCGUUGGCCCGCAGGAAGCAGGACGAAGGCGGGAUCGGCGGCGGCGGCGGCGGCGGCGGCGGCGGAGCUGCGGCCAGAGAAACUGUUUGCUUCCUGAACCUCGGCGGAGGAGGUGCCGGGGCGCCGAGCUGUAACGGACCCACGCAGACCCAGUUGCUCGGCGCCAGCCUAUCACACAGAGACCUGGGCCAAAGCAGCCAGUGA